UACGUAGGCAGCGAGCGUUGUUCGGAGUUACUGGGCGUAAAGGGUGUGUAGGCGGUUCUCUAAGUUUGGUGUGAAAUCUCCCGGCUCAACCGGGAGGGUGCGCCGAAAACUGGAGGGCUAGAGUGCGGGAAGGGAGAGUAGAAUUCCUGGUGUAGCGGUGAAAUGCGUAGAUAUCAGGAGGAAUACCGGUGGUGUAGACGGCUCUCUGGACCGCGACUGACGCUGAGACACGAAAGCGUGGGGAGCAAACAGG
rnacentral:rRNA from 1 species